AAUGCAUGUGCUGCCAGGUUCAGCUUCUUUAUUUUUAGCUGCAAAAGUAGUAUGUUCAUGUCACAAACAUAGAAGAGAGGGCAGAAGCCCCUCCCAUCUCAUCUGCCCCACACUCUCUUGCUUUUCUCCUGCUGUUUGCAUCUGGAUAGAAAAACAACUACAUGAUAGUUUUGGACUCUGAGAUAGGGUCUUACUCUGGAGCUCCUGCUAAUGUUUGUGAUCUCCCUGCUACUGCAGCCACCGAACACCAAAUUACAGACACGUAUUGAGUCUGGCUCGCACGAAACUUCUUAAGAACCAGGCUAGGGAGGUAGUUCAGUGGGCAAAUCACCUGCUGAGUGAGCUUGGUGACCUGAGUUUGGAGUCCCAGCACCCACAUAAAAGCUGGUCUGCUCAGCCUGUGGAUCAGGAGGCAACCCCAGUGCUGGGGCAAGGGGCACACAGGCAGGUGGAUCCCUGGAGAUCACAGACCGGCCACUGAGCUCAGUGUCACUGUACCUCAGGUUCAGAUGAAGACCACGUCUCAGAGAACAAGAUACCUGAAGAGAACACUGAAUGUCGGUCAUGCAUGUAUACUUGUUUGUACACGUGUGCACAUCCACAUGUGUACAUACAUUACACUACACUACACACACACACACACACACACACACACACACACACACACACACCACCAGCAAAAGCUCAAACCCAUCAAAGCAUAAAGCGAAGGUGAAUAGAGGAACAGAGAAAGAAGCAUAGUAAGUGUUGUAACAGGAACUAGUAAUGAACGAGCACUUAUAGGAGUCCCUGAGCCAGAUACUGUGAUGGCACACAAAACACUUAAAAGAUAUCCAUUGUUCUCACUGAGGGACACUGGAAAUGUCUGGGAGCGUCUAUCACCUUCUGUCCUCUGCCAUAGGUACUUGGAACCCUACUUUUUCUUGCAUUUCCACCCCUCCUCCCCUCUUAAGGCCUGAAAGGGAGAUGCGUUAUCAAGGAGCAUUUCAUAUGCACAUGUCUUGUUGUUUUUUCAAAGCUGAAAUCUCAGUGUGGAGAGCCUGAACCAGAGGCUGGCACAUGAUGAAUGAUGACCACUCGUCCCCCACUUCCUUGCAGGCAAGGAGGCCGGGCUGGAGACAAUGCUGGGGAGCUUCAGAACUGGCCUGGUCCUGCUCUCUGGUCCUGUCUGCACUGCAAAGGCACAAUCUGAAGAUUUAAGGAAUCAGUUCCUGUUUGGCUGGUCCUGGCUGACCCCAACAUCAACUCCCUUGACUGGAAAUAAACAGGAUCUUCCUUUGUGUCCCCGGGAAUGCAACAGAGGAAGAACUCCAAAGGGAAAGGGUCUUUUCUGCCAAGGACUAUCAGCAAGGGUGACAGUGGAAGCUCAGCCUUGGCCUCUUCCUCCAGCGUGGCAAGGGGAGGUGCCCUUGUGUGUGCUGACCCUUCUUGCUCUCCCCACAAGCCCCAUUAGAGACCAGAAUCACAGACCCAGAGGUCCCAGUUGUGCCUGGUUUUGAUUUAUAUUCUCUGGGUCUCAUGUGUGCAUCUACACAUACUGGGCUACACACCUUCAUGGGGGCUCAGAAAACAUAAUCACAGUGACAGCAUCUCUUAUUGACACAGGAUAACAAAUGUCCCUGGGCAAGCUGGACUAUUUAUCCUGAAGGGUGUAUGUUACCUGAGAAUGUCCCCAGUGAGGCUAGGGAAUGAAAUGGAGCCUGUGGCUCUCAUUAUAGAACAGGUUGAUGAGAUUCAAGAGGAACCCCAAUACUUGCACGAGCCUCCCCUUCCUUUCAGUGCUCCUGGGGCCGGAGUGGAGUUGGCCCAUCCAGAAGCCUCAACAAGGCUCCUGCUCCUUGUUCAUUCUUAUAAAUCCUUCCAUUCCGGCCCCUGUUUACCCUCUUCCCUGCAAAGAGGAGGACUACUUUACUUACAAUUUUUUUUGUUUAGUCAGAGGGAAGCAGAAAGGUGUCUCCCUCUCCCAUCUCCAUCUUCUUGGGUAGGAAGAUAAGAUCUAGUGUUCCUUCAUCUCCACUCCUUUCCUCUUCCUCCUCGUCUUCUCCCCCAUUGUUCUGUUCUUUAGACCAACGCCCAGAAGCUGACAGGCAAGUGCAGAGGAUAGCUCCCUAGUUUCAGCUUGAGCCUUCUGACAGCAACCCCCAGGGAAACUACUAACAGGAGAGCUUGAAUGCUUGGGUCCUCCUAAAGUUCAUGUUAAAACCUUAACCCUUUGAGUAUUUGAAGCUGAGGUCUUUAGGAGGUGAUGGGUCACCAGAGGGGCCCUUGCGAUGGGAUUAGUGUCCUUACUGAUCCCCCUUCCAAUGGCUAGCUUGUCCCUCACAGGGCACAGGGAGAUGUAGCUGCUGGUAAGACAGCGAGUGGGCUCUCACCACACAUAGAAUCUGCUGGCACCUGAUCUCGGACUCCUCAGCCUCUAGAACUAUGAGGAAUUCCCAGCUGUUAACUUGGGUUUAUGGUACUCUGCGGUAGCAGCCGGAACCACCCCAGACAUUCACUCUGAUCAAGAACUUUCUGCAGAUCCCUACAGUAUACACUAAACCCUCCAUCCGAUGGAGCUAUCCUGAGGCAGAAAACCCAAGUGGACAAUGGAUUGGAUAGCCUGGACUCUGCACUGAAUGUAGGAGGGGGCAGCUGUCCUGGGGGCACCAGGCCUUGGGAGUCUCCUUUUCACCCCCCUUCUCUCUGGAAAGCUUUUUUGUUGUUGCCCGUCACUUGAAGCGUUUCCAGGAACCACCUAAAGUAAAUAGUCUGACUGCGUUUCCACGACUCCACUUGGCUGCAGCCACUCUUCCUAUGGGACAAGUGUAAAAGAGAGGGGCAGGCAGGCAGCCUCCAGAAACCUCUGGAUGCACAACAGCAGGCUGCCAUCCUAGCCUGUCUGUCUAGCGAUGUGCUAGGAGCAGGACUGUCUGGAAGAGCAGGACUGUCUGGCAGAGCAAAAUUCUGACCACAAUCACAGCUGUCAUCAUUGGAGGCAUAGCCAGUGGCUUCUAAGUGCUGCUUAGACACAGAGACAAUGACAGCCAAAGUCUCGUGACCAUUCUCCUGUAUGGAGGUGGCAGCCACAAUUAUCUGUGGUCCUGCCAAGCUACAGUACCUGCCCUGAAAGUGAGACCAGGACUCUGCCUUUCCUUAUCUAGUUGAGUGAUGUUGGCAUCCAUCUAUAAAGAGAGCAGAACAGCCAAGUCAGGGCAGGGACUCAGAAAGUGGCACUCCACAGUCCAGGGCUCUGGCAGGAUGAGCAUUUAGAAUGAAAGGGGAAAGGGUGGGAGCACAGUGAGAUGGUUAAGCUGGUAAAGGUGACCACUGUCAAGCCCAAGGGCCUGAGUUAGUUCUCCUGGACCUGCUUGGUAGGAGAGAUCCAACUUUCGAAAGCUGUCAUCCACCUCUUCAAGUGCGAACAUGUAUAUAUGUUAUAAUGGACACACACACAAUGUAAUAAUAAUUAUGGGGAAGGGAAGGUCCCAGCUCAGCCUCAGAAGCAGUCUCUUCCUGUCUCCUGCUCUUCUGUCUCCAGCACCGUCUCUCUCUAGAAAUGAGUCAUAGAAGCCAAGACUCCUCAUCCCCAAGGUGGAUCCUGGGAACCUGACCCCCUCUCCCUCAGAGCAAGACUUACAUCCUAGAGAUCCUACUUGAAGCUGUCUUUCUGGGUGGGAGCUGGUCGCAAAGAAAUCAAGUUGCCUUGUAUGAUGGAGAGUCCUUAGAUCCUGAUCCCAGAAGAGUCCCAGUGGGCUCCCUGGGGGAGGGAUGCUCUCCUGCCCUCUCCCUUUAAUGUUUACACACUCAAUAGUGCACCCUUUUGUCCGUCAUAUUCCUGUUCAGCUAACUCAGCUUCAUCCAGUCUGAGCUGUAUCUUUGUGCGAGCGCACGCGAGCGCACACACACACGAACAUACAUGAAUACAUACACAUGCACACACACACACAUGAACAUACAUGAAUGCAUACACAUGCACACACACAUGCACACACAUGCACACACGAACAUACAUGAAUACAUACACAUACACACACACACACGAAUACACAUGAACACACACACAUACCAACAUAUACAUACACACACAUACACACACACAUGAACACACACACACGCACACACACACACACACACACACACACACACACACACACACACGGACAUACACACUAUUUUCUUCUCAGAGACACAGUCUUGUUAUGUAGCCCCGUCGGGCCUCCAGUUUGAGAUACCGCCUCAGCCCCUCAAGUGCUGUCAUUACAGGCCUGUGGUUUCCCAUCCACCACACCUUCAUUUCUGAAGGCUCCCCUACCAUGGAAAACUUGGAUUAAAUGUGUUUUUCUCUUGCUAA